UAACAACAAAACAUAGGUUCUUUCAACUUUCAAUUUUCUGCGCAUGUGCCAGAAACUCUACGUCACGAUGACGUACUAUUUUAACGAAUUUGAGCCAGACGCGCCAUCGCCAUUUUCUACACGAGAAGACGAGAUCACGACGACACUAGUUGCUGAUGCGAGGAAAAAGACGAAGGAGCUCGUAUUUGAAUGUCUACAGAUGGAUUUUUAUAUAAAGUCUAGAAAAGGAAAGAGCAAAUGGCUGUGGAGAUGAUGACUCCAGACAUUACAUUUGUUGAUGCUGCUAUGAGCAGCACGUAUUCUUUGAGAAGGCAAGAAGUCGUUGAUGAGGAGCCACCAGUGUCACAAAUGAAAAUCCGAUGGCCAGCAAUUUUCACUGAGAGACAGAUCAGCAAAGAAUUCACCAGGCUUGUGUCAAAGGAUCUGAGCAAGUCCUUUUUGGAAGGUCUUAGAUGGUCAUCUCUCGAAGCUGAUACAGUUAUUCCUAACAAAGCGUUAUGAGGACAUUCCAGAAAUGACUUCAAUACUGGAGAGCCUUGAUAAGAAUACAACAAACCAAAGAAUGAGGACUGCAGCAUUGCUUGGCUUGCCGUGGUAUAUGCGAGAGACUCCUUCUAAAUUCAUGAAGAUAUGUGAGCCCAGUGACCGUGAAGAGGAUGUGAUCAAGGGUGUGGUGAUCGGAAUCCUAGUGGUUGUGGAAAAUGUGAUGGAGCCUCUCCCAGAAUUCUACAAUGACGUUGCCCUGGUGAUUGAGGAAGAAGUGGUGAUGCGUCACCUGAGUGACAUACCUAAUGCUUUUCUGAACCUGAUGGGCCUGGUGUAUGCAUUAAACCUCGAUAACCUAAGGAAUUAAAAUUCACUUUUGAAGUGAUACAGCGCCUGUUCAUUGGAGUUGGAUCAGACUCAUGCACCGCAAGAGUUCACUCUUUGAAGAGCAAGUUGCUGAGAUAAGAAACUAUUUUCUCCUUCUUGCUACUAUUAGCACUUAAACCGUUACACUGUUUUAAAUAUUAAGACCAUUGUUAUUUUAGAUUUCAUUGUUUUAAGUGUAACAUUGGUAUUCUUGAAUUGCUUUUGAAACAGACUGUUUUCUUGUUUCCUUGUCCUGCUUGACGUUUGAUUGGGAAUUGAAGAAUUUUAUUUGAAGUUGUUAAACAGCUUAUAGUGAAUUCUUCAUGUACUCCUGUUCCUGCAAUGAAAAUAUCUGAUAGUGACAAGGAGAGUUAUUUGUACUAUUCUCUAAGAAUGGGUCUGUGCAUGAAGAAGUUUGCACAUGCUUGUGUGAGCUGAAUAUAUGUGAGGGUUUUUCUUGUGAUGUUUUCAUAUCUUUGCAAGCUAAUAGUUUUUGGGUGCAGUGCAUCUGUUUAAAAAAAUAA